UGAACGCUGGCGGCGUGCCUAAUACAUGCAAGUCGCGCGAACAGACGAGGAGCUUGCUCCUCUGACGUUAGCGGCGGACGGGUGAGUAACACGUGGAUAACCUACCUAUAAGACUGGGAUAACUUCGGGAAACCGGAGCUAAUACCGGAUAAUAUAUUGAACCGCAUGGUUCAAUAGUGAAAGACGGUUUUGCUGUCACUUAUAGAUGGAUCCGCGCCGCAUUAGCUAGUUGGUAAGGUAACGGCUUACCAAGGCAACGAUGCGUAGCCGACCUGAGAGGGUGAUCGGCCACACUGGAACUGAGACACGGUCCAGACUCCUACGGGAGGCAGCAGUAGGGAAUCUUCCGCAAUGGGCGAAAGCCUGACGGAGCAACGCCGCGUGAGUGAUGAAGGUCUUCGGAUCGUAAAACUCUGUUAUUAGGGAAGAACAAAUGUGUAAGUAACUAUGCACGUCUUGACGGUACCUAAUCAGAAAGCCACGGCUAACUACGUG
rnacentral:rRNA from 1 species